rnacentral:rRNA from 1 species
AGUUGUAUCCUGGCUCAGGAUGAACGCUAGCGGUAUGCCUAACACAUGCAAGUCGUACGAGGGUUUCAUACCCAAGUGGCGGACGGGUGAGUAACACGUGAGAAUUUGCCCUAAGGAGGGGGAUAACAACUGGAAACGGUUGCUAAAACCCCAUAUGCUUCCGAGUGAAAUAGAUUUAUCUGCCUUAGGAGAAGCUCGCGGCUGAUUAGCUAGUUGGUAAGGUAAUGGCUUACCAAGGCGACGAUCAGUAUCUGGUUUGAGAGGACGAUCAGACACACUGGAACUGAGACACGGUCCAGACUCCUACGGGAGGCAGCAGUGGGGAAUUUUCCGCAAUGGGCGAAAGCCUGACGGAGCAAUACCGCGUGAAGGAAGACGGCCUAUGGGUUGUAAACUUCUUUUUUCAGGGAGGAACUCAAUGACGUGUACCUGAAGAAUAAGCAUCGGCUAACUCCGUGCCAGCAGCCGCGGUAAGACGGAGGAUGCAAGUGUUAUCCGGAAUCACUGGGCGUAAAGCGUCUGUAGGUGGUUUAAUAAGUCGACUGUUAAAUCUUGAGGCUUAAUCUCAAAAUCGCAUUCGAAACUAUUAGACUUGAGUAUAGUAGAGGUAAAGGGAAUUUCCAGUGGAGCGGUGAAAUGCGUAGAUAUUGGAAAGAACACCGAUGGCGAAGGCACUUUACUGGGCUAUUACUGACACUCAGA